rnacentral:rRNA from 1 species
AUGGCAUCCGGUGCUUCACGAACCGUCAGGUUUCAGAGCGACGUCGACGUGAAGCACUUCAGAGCGAGCCCCUUGGAGAGCCCGCAACCACCGUCGGCGGGCAGAAAGCGCAGCAGAUCCCAUGACCCGAGGCGGUGCUGGCCGGGAUCCCGUGACUCCCUGGAGAAACCGCGCCCGCGCACGAACGGCGGCAGGGCCCUCAAGGACAGGGUGCUGUCGCGGGCCUUCUCGGAGGAGCUGGAGUCGCUGAUGCACGCCGGCGGCGACCGCCACCUCUUCUUCUUCUUCGACCCGCGCGGGCAGGUGGUCCACCGGUGGCACAAGGUGUUCCUGGCCGCCUGCCUCGCGUCGCUCUUCGUCGACCCGCUCUUCCUCUACCUCACGGGGACGCGGCGGGACGCGUGCGUCGGCUUCGACUACUCGCUGGCGCUCACGCUCUCCAUGAUACGCUCGCUGCUGGACGUCUUCUACGCCGCGCACAUCGUCAUCCGCUUCCGCACCGCCUUCAUCGCGCCGUCGUCGCGGGUGUUCGGGAGAGGGGAGCUCGUCAUCAACCCGUACCAGAUCGCCAGGCGGUACCUUGCAUGGACCUUCUGGUUCGAUCUCUUCACCGCGCUACCACUGCCGCAGUUUGUGGUGUGGGUGGUGGUGCCGAAGCUGAGGGAAUCGGCAAUCACAAACAUGAAGAACGUGCUCCGCUUCAGCAUAAUUUUCCAGUACCUGCCGCGGCUGCUACAGAUCUUCCCGCUGACGAGGCGGAUCGUGAUGGCGACGGGGGUCAUGACCGAAAACGCCUGGGCCGGAGCAGCCUACAACCUCAUACUCUACAUGCUAGCCAGCCACGUGCUGGGAGCACUGUGGUACCUCUUCUCGGUGCAGCGGCAGGAGUCGUGCUGGCGGCAGGCGUGCCGCGUCGAGGGCCCGCCGUGCCAGGACAUCUUCUUCGACUGCGCAAGCACGAGCACGGUGGUGAGCAGCAACCGGAACCGGAGCGUCUGGUACGCGCUCACCAACGUCACCAGGCUGUGCGCCCCCGGCAACAACGGCUUCUACCAGUUCGGGAUCUUCGGCGAGGCGGUGGCCGCGCAGCUCACCACCUCCUCCUUCACGCACAAGUACUUCUACUGCUUCUGGUGGGGGCUCAAGAACCUCAGCUGCCUGGGCCAGAACCUCAACACCAGCCUCUCCAUCGGCGAGAUCAGCUUCGCCAUCGUCAUCGGCGUCCUCGGCCUGGUGCUCUUCGCGCUGCUCAUCGGCAACAUGCAGUCCUACCUCCAGGCCACCAUGGUGCGGCUGGAGGAGUGGCGGACCAAGCGCACGGACAUGGAGCGCUGGAUGCAGCACCGCCAGAUCCCGCAGCCGCUCAAGGAGUGCGUCCGGCGCUACCACCAGUACAAGUGGGUGGCCACCCGCGGCGUCGACGAGGAGGCGCUGCUGGAGGACCUCCCCAUGGACAUCCGCCGCGACAUCAAGCGCCACCUCUGCCUCGACCUCGUCCGCCGGGUGCCGCUGUUCGACGAGAUGGACGAGCGCAUGCUGGAGGCCAUCUGCGAGCGCCUGCGCCCGGCGCUCUACACGCGCGGCACGCGCCUGGUGCGGGAGCUGGACCCCGUCGACUCCAUGCUCUUCAUCAUCCGGGGCCACCUCGACUCCAACACCACGCAGGGCGGGAGGUCCGGCUUCUUCAACUCGUGCCGCAUCGGGGCGGGGGAGUUCUGCGGGGAGGAACUGCUCACCUGGGCGCUCGACCCGCGGCCCGCCGAGGCGCUGCCGAGGUCCACGCGCACCGUGCGCGCCGUCUCCGAGGUCGAGGCCUUCGCGCUCGUCGCCGAUGACCUCCGCUUCGUCGCCUCGCAGUUCCGGCGACUGCACAGCGCGCGCAUCCGCCACAGGUUCCGAUUCUACUCCCACCAGUGGCGCACAUGGGCGGCGUGCUUCAUCCAGGCCGCAUGGCGCCGCCACAAGCGCCGACGCGCGUCCAUGGAGCUCAGGGUGCGCGAGGGCGGCAGCGACGCGUGGCCGGGAGGGAGCGUCAGGCGCCGUCGACACAGUUGCGACGGCAAGGCGCUCAAGAAACCCACGGAGCCGGAUUUCACGGUGGAGCAAGAGGACUGA